rnacentral:rRNA from 1 species
GUGGAACUAGGCAUGAGCAAAGUAGGGCGGGACACGUGGAAUCCUGUCUGAAGAUGGGGGGACCAUCCUCCAAGGCUAAAUACUCGUCUCUGACCGAUAGUGAACCAGUACCGUGAGGGAAAGGCGAAAAGAACCGCGGAGAGCGGAGUGAAAUAGAUCCUGAAACCGUAUGCCUACAAGCAGUGGGAGCCCGUUUUACGGGUGACUGCGUACCUUUUGUAUCAUGGGUCAGCGACUUACUUUCUGUGGCGAGCUUAACCGAAGAGGGGAGGCGUAGGGAAACCGAGUCUGAAUAGGGCGACAGUCGCAGGGAGUAGACCCGAAACCGGACGAUCUAUCCAUGGUCAGGAUGAAGGUGGGGUAAAACCUACUGGAGGUCCGAACCCACGCCCGUUGAAAAGGUCGGGGAUGAACUGUGGAUAGGAGUGAAAGGCUAAACAAGUCCGGAGAUAGCUGGUUCUCCCCGAAAGCUAUUGAGGUAGCGCGUCGCGUAUUACUGCCGGGGGUAGAGCACUGUUACGGCUAGGGGGCUGUCACGGCUUACCAACCCGUUGCAAACUCCGAAUACCGGCAAGUAGAGCGCGGCAGACAGACGGCGGGUGCUAACGUCCGUCGUCAAGAGGGAUGAAAACCCAGACCGCCAGCUAAGGUCCCCAAAUAUGGCUCAGUGGGAAACGAUGUGGGAAGGCCCAGACAGCUAGGAGGUUGGCUUAGAAGCAGCCAUCCUUUAAAGAAAGCGUAAUAGCUCACUAGUCGAGUCGGCCCGCGCGGAAGAUUUAACGGGGCUCAAGCCAUAUACCGAAGCUGCGGGUGUGUCCUUAGGGACGCGCGGUAGGGGAGCGUUCGGUAAGCCGAUGAAGGUGUGUUGGAAAGCAUGCUGGAGGUAUCCGAAGUGCGAAUGCUGACAUGAGUAGCGAUAAAGGGUGUGAAAACCACCCUCGCCGUAAGCCCAAGGGUUCCUGCGUCAAGUCAAUCUGCGCAGGGUGAGUCGGCCCCUAAGGCGAGGCCGAGAGGCGUAGCUGAUGGGAAAUCGGUUAAUAUUCCGAUACUGUUACAAGAUGCGAUGGAGUGACGGAGAAAGGUAGCUCAGCCGGGUGUUGGAUGUCCUGGUUUAAGCGUGUAGGGAGUCUUCU